AACGAACGCUGGCGGCAUGCCUAACACAUGCAAGUCGAACGAGACCUUCGGGUCUAGUGGCGCACGGGUGCGUAACGCGUGGGAACCUGCCCUUAGGUUCGGAAUAACUCCCCGAAAGGGGUGCUAAUACCGGAUAAUGUCUUCGGACCAAAGAUUUAUCGCCUCUGGAUGGGCCCGCGUUGGAUUAGCUAGUUGGUAGGGUAAAAGCCUACCAAGGCGACGAUCCAUAGCUGGUCUGAGAGGAUGAUCAGCCACGCUGGGACUGAGACACGGCCCAGACUCCUGCGGGAGGCAGCAGUGGGGAAUAUUGGACAAUGGGCGAAAGCCUGAUCCAGCAAUGCCGCGUGAGUGAUGAAGGCCUUAGGGUUGUAAAGCUCUUUUACCCGGGAUGAUAAUGACAGUACCGGGAGAAUAAGCUCCGGCUAACUCCGUG
rnacentral:rRNA from 1 species